GGAGAGGUCGCAUAGCCUGGUCGAGUGCGCGCCUGGAGAGCGCGUAGGGUCUUCAUGGCCCUCGAGGGUUCAAAUCCCUCCCUCUCCGCCA
rnacentral:tRNA from 1 species